UCUCUCUCAAAGCGUUCAGAAGACUUCCUCUCACAAAAAAGAAACGCGAAGGCAAAUCGGAAGGCAAGAAAGAAUCGCAAAUGGUUCUGUUGCAAAUCGGAAGCGGAGGUUCCUACAAAGAGAAUCGGAAAGUAAAGAUUGCUAUUUAAUUUUGUAAUUUCUGUUUUGGGGUUUGUUUUGAUUCAAAGAUCUAGGGUUUGUUUUGGGGUUCG
rnacentral:lncRNA from 1 species